AGUCAAUUUUAACUCUGUGUAAAUGUACCCAAAGUUCCAAGCAGGUUUUUUUAGCUCAUGGGAAGCCAAUUUACAGCACAAAUGGCAGCGAAAAAUUUUUUUACUCCUGAAGAUGCAAAACCAAAAUGGGAAGAUGAGCGCAUUUACUGUGUAAACUCACUUUUAAGAAGUGACUUCACAAUCACACAGCUGUUUUGGAGUAUGGGCCAAUAGGAAUCAAGGUAGUCAUGGAGGCAUCCUGUGUUAAAUAAUUUGUCAUAAUUACACUGUAUAAGAAGCAGGCAUGUGCAUUCUUAUUGCUUCCACUUUUGCUUUGCUGAUAGUUGCAUUGAUUCAACAGGAUUACAUAGUGUUCCCGUGUGGAUUAAAUGCAACCGGUGAUGGGUUUUACUUAUGUGACAGAUUUAUUAAGAGCACCAUCAUGCUUUAUCAGGAAGGAGAUUAUAUUAGAGAAAGUGAACUCUGGAUGAACAUGUAAUAGAAUCAAAGCAAUUAGUAGCUAUUUAGUAGGUACUGAUAAUUAUGGAUAUAGCAGCCUGAAAUGUCAAAUAAGAUCAAUCCAUGUUUAAUUGCUGUGUUAAUUAAAAUAAAAAGAUAAAUACAUGUGGUCAUUCAAAAAAAAGUGAGAAAGUGGGUAAUAUCCAAGGUUAGUCAUACUCAGAGUAGACCUACUGAAAUCAGCAGAUUGUCACUUGAUUUCAGUGGAUCUACUCUGAGUAUGACUUAGCUAGGUAUCACUCAGAACUUGUCAAACUUCCUGCUAACCAAAGCCAUUUAACACAGAAGCAUUGUUUGACUAUUUUACAAUAUGUAUCUCUGGCAUUUAUCCCCUUCCAUCCUCCUCGUUGGUGAAGUUCCUGUGGCUGCAGGAAGAAAAUGCAUUCCAAAUGAAAUAAGAGAUGGCUGUGGAGACCUUGUCCAAGUGCCUGGAAUCCGUGAGUGGAUGGAUGGGAAGAAACAGGCUGAAGCUCAAUCCUGAUAAGACCGAGGGGCUCUUCAUGAUAUCUGGGAAAAGUCCUUCCCAUCAACUCUUACUGGAUCAUAUUAACUGGAGAUGUCAACCUGG